UGCCUUCUUAUUUGCAGAUGCCAUAAAGAAAACAAAAACUGCUAAAAACCGGAGCAUAUUUUCUGCACAUUUGAAAUUGCUACGAGCUACUCUGCAUGGAGGAUACUGUUCUUAUUCCAGUUUAACAAGGAUUAAAACGAGACACAGAGACUGCGACAGAAGAAUGAGGACCAGGCUUCAUUAUCUACUUCUCUCCAUCACAUCUCACAGAGAUGGCAUGUCCAGCUCUGGGAAGACCUUCUCUCACUUUCCUGAAAAGCCACCAGGAAGGCUGCUUGUUCUGCAAACCAUUCCCCUUUCUGUUAUUCUCCAUGUGGCCAGAUGCUAUUAUUCAUGAAAGUACAUUUAGGCAAUAAACACCUGGUAUAGUA